AAUGAACGCUAGCGGUGUGCUUAACGCAUGCAAGUCGAACGUGAAACCUCCUUCGGGAGGCGGAAAGUGGCGAACGGGUGAGUAACACGUAGGUAACGUACCCUAGGGAGGGGGACAACAGGUGGAAACGCCUGCUAAUACCCCAGAUGUUCUACGGAACUAAAGCUCCGGCGCCUUAGGAGCGGCCUGCGGCCCAUCAGCUAGUUGGUAAGGUAACGGCUUACCAAGGCAAAGACGGGUAGGGGGCGUGAGAGCGUGAUCCCCCACACUGGUACUGAUACACGGACCAGAUACCUACGGGUAGCAGCAGCGAGGAAUAUUGCGCAAUGGGGGCAACCCUGACGCAGCAACACCGCGUGGAGGAAGAAUGUCUUCGGAUUGUAAACUCCUUUUCUGUGUGAAUAGAAAGGAAGGUAGCACAGGAAUAAGGCCCGGCUAACUACGUGCCAGCAGCCGCGGUAAAACGUAGGGGCCAAGCGUUAUCCGGAAUUACUGGGCGUAAAGCGCGUGCAGGCGGUUGGGUAAGUUGGAUGUGAAAGCUCCUGGCUUAACUAGGAGAGGCCAUUCAAAACUGCUUGACUAGAGAUAGAUAGAGGCAAGUGGAAUUUCCGGUGUAGCGGUGAAAUGCGUAGAUAUCGGAAGGAACACCAGAGGCGAAGGCGGCUUGCUGGGUCUGAUCUGACGCUGAGACGCGAAAGCUAGGGGAGAGAACGGGAUUAGAAACCCCGGUAUUCCUAGCCGUAAACGAUGUCAACUAGGUGUAGGUGGGUGUAAGCCCAUCUGUGCUCCAGCUAACGCGAUAAGUUGACCGCCUGGGGAUUACGGCCGCAAGGCUAAAACUCAAAGGAAUUGGCGGGGACCCGCACAAGCAGCGGAGCGUGUGGUUUAAUUCGAGGCAACGCGAAGAACCUUACCGGGGUUUGACAUAUGCGUGGUACGGAUCAGAAAUGUGAAGGACUCUUCGGAGAGCGCAAACAGGUGCUGCAUGGCUGUCGUCAGCUCGUGCCGUGAGGUGUUCGGUUAAGUCCGCAAACGAGCGCAACCCACGUCGUUAGUUACAAGUGUCUAGCGAGACUGCCGGUGAUAAGCCGGAGGAAGGAGUGGAUGACGUCAAGUCAGCAUGGCCUUUAUAUCCCGGGCUACACACACGCUACAAUGGUCGGUACAAUGGGUAGCGAAGCUGCGAAGUGAAGCCAAUCUCGGAAAGCCGAUCUCAGUUCGGAUUGCAGGCUGCAACUCGCCUGCAUGAAGCCGGAGUUGCUAGUAACCGCGCGUCAGCACAGUGCGGUGAAUACGUUCCCGGGUCUUGCACACACCGCCCGUCACGUCAUGGAAGUUGGCAACGCCUAAAGUCAGUGGGUUAACCCUAACGGGAGACAGCUGCCUAGGGCGGGGUCGGUAACUGGGACG
rnacentral:rRNA from 1 species